rnacentral:rRNA from 1 species
CCUACGGGGGGCAGCAGUGAGGAAUAUUGGUCAAUGGACGAGAGUCUGAACCAGCCAAGUAGCGUGAAGGAUGACUGCCCUAUGGGUUGUAAACUUCUUUUAUAAAGGAAUAAAACAAGGCACGUGUGCCUUUUUGCAUGUACUUUAUGAAUAAGGAUCGGCUAACUCCGUGCCAGCAGCCGCGGUAAUACGGAGGAUCCGAGCGUUAUCCGGAUUUAUUGGGUUUAAAGGGAGCGUAGAUGGGUUGUUAAGUCAGUUGUGAAAGUUUGCGGCUCAACCGUAAAAUUGCAAUUGAUACUGGAAGUCUUGAGUACAGUUGAGGUAGGCGGAAUUCGUGGUGGAGCGGUGAAAUGCUUAGAUAUCACGAAGAACCCCGAUUGCGAAGGCAGCUUACUAAACUGUGACUGACAUUGAUGCUCGAAAGUGUGGGUAUCAAACAGGAUUAGAUACCCCAGUAGUC